UGGAAUCUUCCAAUAACGCGCAGUUUCUGCGGCAUUUCAAAGUUAGCCACUUGUUAGAUAAUUAUAACAUAACGAUAGACUUGUGUAUGAUGCGAGUCACAAUCGGUCGACUUCUAGAGGAGAUAUUAUGUUAAAUAUACAUCUGUACAUUCCAUGGUUAAAAGAACGUGUAAUUUGGAAAUAUGUCGCGGAUUGAUCAGAAGAAUUUGCUCAUUGUAAUAUGGAUAUUUGCAACAAUAAAAUCAGUUGAGUGCCUUAUGUGUGUCCGGUGUUCGUCUCUGUUUCAACGCCAAUGCAUCAGUGGCCAUCUGGCGCCAAGUAAUUGCUCAAUAACAACAAAAUACUGUACAAAAUACGUGGGAACUGUAAAACUGACUGGAGAUAAGUUUGUGUCUAGAGACUGUUCAGACGAAAUGGAAAAGCCUGGAUGUCGCGAAACGGUGAUCCACGACAAGGAAGUAAAAAUUUGCUACUCAGCAUGCCAGACAGAUGGCUGCAACACAGGGUCAUUCAGCUCAUCAAAUUAUUUGAUUGUAUAUGUCAUAUCAGCACUUUGUCUAGCAUACAAUUCCCUUUAGUAAUGAUAGUUUUUAUGGCUCAUUUAAACAUUGUUUUUGUUGAAUUUUAUCUGUGCGUGUAAAUAAGUUUAAGUACCUGUUUGAGCAAUGAAUUUUAUUUUAAUUUUUAUAUUGAAUGUUAUCUGUCAUGACGUGUACAUAACUAUAUUACGUUCACAUUAUGCAUUGUAUAUGCACUAGCAGCCGUUGCUUUGAAUGGUACUGCCCCUUUCCGAUAACACUGUAAAAUAUGAACACGUUGAAACAAAUGGCAAACUGUGUCAAUGAAUUUAUGUGCUUGUCUUUUCGCAUUUUGUUUUCAUUUGAAAUGUUAUUUACAACAGUUGCUUGAAUGUUUUAUAUAUAACAGCUUCAGUCAAAAUAGAAGCUUAGUUAACUGUAGUAUAUAAACUACCAGCAGAGUACUGAUGAUUAAGUCUGUUGGCAGCUUCUGUCAAAACAGAGGUUUAGUAAAUAGUAGUAUAUACACUACCAGUAGAUUUUUGUCUGUUUACGAGAUAGAAGUUGCAAGUUUCUCCGUAGGUAAUAUAUUUCCCUUCGCACAUUCUUGUCAAUCAUCAAAAUAACACGACUGUGUUAUACUACUGCAUAGUACUGAAAGCGUAAGUUUGUGUCACUAUCAGUUCCGUGAACAGUAAAUUUAAAAUACACCAUACGAUUUCUUAAUGUUGGUCGUACUACCUUUGGGUCGCCCCCUUCACCAUAUCAAAUGGUUUCAGUGCUUGCCCGUUUAAAUCUAAAGUACAAGACGUUAUACUUUAAUGUGUGUGCCACAGUUUGAGUUUUUCCUGCUUUACAUAGUCGGUGUUAAUUUGUCUGCUACAUACACCUAAUGUCUUGUCAGAUACACAAGCCAUCAACUGCCGUGAGCUUUCAUUAAUAAAAGCGUUUUUAUAGGAAUUAUGUACAUAUAAGUUUUGUGUAGUUUGUCUAUUUUUGUAAAAUGACUUCAGCGCGCUCACCCUUUCACUUAUCAUCAUGUUGUUUAAAUGGACUCGGACUUGUUAGUAUGUUUGCUGUCCCUUUUGGGAUCAUGGAUUACAUUAUCUUUACUACAAUAAAAUUCCACUUAAGCAGGUGCUAGGGGGCGUGAGGGAUGUUGCACAUUUCAUUACCUCUUGAAGAGCUCAGACAAACCUACUCUUAUUUUUAAGAGUAUUCUGUCCUAGAGUAAAUGCGACGUUAUUUAUACACACAAACUAUAUUACAAUCAAAAUCUUGGCAUUGGUGUUUGAUUGGUAAAUAUAAUUUAGCCGAAUAGAAGAUCUACAGAACCAAACAAACCGAUGCUGUUACUUCGGUUUUAUUCAGUCUUAUUCAGUUUGUUCACAAGAGAUUACGUGUAGUGCAAAACAAACAUUCAUAAUCUUCUGCAGAACCAAACAUCUUUGGUUUUAUUCAGUUUUAUUCAGUCUGUUGCAAAAGAUAUACCCUAUCUUCUUUGUCAUUUAUAGAACACUUUUGCAUAAAAAUAUGCCAUACUGUUUUUCACAGUUUACCAUGAACAGUACUACAACUAUCAAGUAAAUUCUUAACACUAUUUCUCUUUGAAACAAGAUAAUGUUUUUUCGAAAAGACUGUUCCAUAAUUACUUAUGUGUGUUUACGAAAACAGGUAAUGUAUUUGUACAUCAGCUAUAACUUGGCUAAUACCAUGUUUAAAACUGUCGUCCUUUACUGGCUUUUUUACUUGGAUUAAGACCCUCUGUCUAAAUUUUAAAUACUUUUUAAUGUGUGUCAGUAAGGUUGUAGAUUUUUAAUACAAUCGGUAUAGAAGCAUACCAAUUUUUGUGAAAUACAAUUAUUAAACAUAGAUAGUUUUAAAAUGUAGUACUGAACAUAUGCAUUCGUAAAUAGUAAAUGUAUUAGUUGAUCGCUUAGCCAAGAAAAAUUACUAGGCUUUAUAGGCUUUGUAUGGUAUCUUUAUAGAAGUAGAUGCUUUGUAAAUGCUAUUUUCUUUCGUUUUAGAUUUAAGCACUAUAUCUUGUUUAUUGUAUUAUAUAGUGAUGAAACUUACAAACACGAAUGACUUAUUGCCUUAUUAUAAUUGUGACUUAAUGUAUAUGUGCUUUACGAUUGAUCAUGUUUGAUCAUGUUAACUAUAAAAUGGAGUAGAUAUGUUAAGAACAACUAUAAGCUUUUGGCUGUUUGACUUAAUUUGCCUAAUAUUCUAUAGUAACCAAAUAAAAGUUUCAAUAGCCAGAUGUGAAGGAACCAAGACGUCAGCUAGUUUUGACUGCAAGUUUCAUACAGUGGAAUAUAGUUCUAAAGACCCGGAAUACUUAGCAUACAACGUGUCGCCAAUGGUUUGUGAUCUUCUAGCGAAGCAAAGAUGUACUUCCAAAAUUGUCAAUAUACAUUUACUGAUCAAAUAGAAUAAGCAAGUGUGGUGCUAAACUGCGGUAAACUGUUAACAUGAUCGACAGUUUUGUUUCCGAAUGAUGACAAUUUAGUCGAACGAUUACAAAUAAUUAUCAGUUUAAGCAUCAAUUAAAUUUCAGUGUGACAACGGUGAUAUAGUGUGCUAUACUCGGCUUGACUUGAUUUCGUGGCAAUAACGUGCCUGUUCACUAGAGCCCAUCUGAUGAGAUUAGCGAAUAUCUAAAGUGAAAUAUGGGAAAUGGAUAUAUUUGAUUUUAGCAGUCAUUCAUUAAAUAAUACGAUGUGAAAUCUGUUAAAAGGAGUAAUCAAAUUUGUACUCCCAAACAACGGUUUUUUGAUUAUACAAGCGUAGUAAUUUCUUUUCUGAGCCUAAAAUUUAAUAUAAUGGCUCUUAGGGAGUGUUAUAUAGACUAAUGAGAAAAAAAUCAAUCUUUCUCUUCGUUACAUAAGGUAGAAUAUUUAGAAUGCAUGAUUUUAGUUAAAGUAAGCUUUUGUGCCGUAGCCAUCAUUCAAAGAAUAUCAUUAUCCGCUUAUUUUAGACUUGGUCUGUUUAUAACGGAGGAUGUUACGAAUGUGGGCAACAGUCAUUACAAAGAUGCAUUCAGUAAGUUGCACAGUAAUUGCUUCUAACUAGUGUUCAGUUAAGUAUUUAUGACUCGAAUUAAAUUGUAUCGACAUAGAAUUGAUGCUUGCGAGUUAAGUACGGUAUCUGUACGAUACAUUGAUUUGUUUUCAUAUGCACACUGUGCAGGAACGCGGUCGAAUAUUGGUUAUUAGAGAAGGUUUUUUCCGAUAUUUUACUCUUUGGCCCAUUCUUUGCUUAAAAAAGAUUUUUUUUUUUAUUUUAAGCAUAAGAAAAUACAAUUUAUAGGCUGUAUUUUUAGAAUAUCUUGAUUACUUUUGAAUUUAUCGCUUUAAAACGAUCGUGAUAAGGGUUUUUAUAUUGUGAUUCCAGCCAUAUAGGACACUAAACUGUUGAUGUAUUGUUGUAGAUUUUUAAGUUUAGCAUAUAAACAAUGUUUCCGUAUACAAUUCCAAAACAUAGAAAAAAUAUUUUUAAAAAAAUAUGUGGAGCUUUGCAUCGGUAAAAGUACGUAUCGACCAUGGAGUGUUGAUAUUAUUCAAAUUACCAUAAAAAAUGAUUAAACAUCCCACCAUAGAGACCCGUUUAGAGUGAUAUACAUAACUUAGAUCUGAAAUCUGCAAAUUAAAGCCACAAAAGAUACUGUUACGAAUUAUGUAGAACAAACAUUAAGUACAGUACUGUAGUUCAUUUGAUGAUGUGUAACUUGAAAUGUGCAAAAGAAUAAAAUAUGAGAAACUUC